rnacentral:rRNA from 1 species
AUUGAACGCUGGCGGCAGGCCUAACACAUGCAAGUCGGGCGAGAGGCGGACGGGUGAGUAAUGUAUGAGCAUGUGCCUGAUGGAAGGGUCUAACUACUGUAAACGGUAGCUACUACCGCAUACCCUCCGUUGAACCCAUAUUGGAUUAGCUUGUAGGUAAGGUAACGGCUUACCUAGGCGACGCGCCCUAGCUGGUCUGAGAGGAUGAUCGGCCACACUGUGACUGAGACACGGCCCAGACUCCUACGGGAGGCAGCAGUGGGGAAUAUUGCACAAUGGGCGAAAGCCUGAUGCAGCCAUGCCGCGUGUAUGAAGAAGGCCUUCGGGUUGUAAAGUACUUUCAGUCGGGAGGCGUUACCGACAGAAGAAGCACCGGCUAACUCCGUGCCAGCAGCCGCGGUAAUUC